UCCGGGACCUCCGCUACACCCCGGUACCCGCUCCGGGACCCUCGCUACACCGCGGCACCCGCUCCGGGACCUCCGCUACAUUCCCGGUACCUGCUCAGGUACCUUCUCCCGAUCUUCGGUCCCUGCACCCCCUGGCACCUGCCCUGGCACCUCCCCGCAGCCGCAGUCCCCGCCCUGCCGUGCCCCCGCCAGUGCAGCCCCAGUGCCGGGGUCAGAUCUGGAUAAGCACACGGUAUAAAGUGUCGCUGACUGAUCAGCUUUCAUUACCACCCCAUCCUUACACCCCUGACACCCUCUCUUUGACCAACAGAACCACAAGAGCACGUCAGGGUGUUUACAAACAGACUUUCCUGGGUGGUUUGUCAGUCAUUCCAACCUUUCAAAGUGCUGAAAUACUGCCCUAGAUGGCCCAACCAGCCUAAAAGUGACAUCAACUAUUCUCAUGCAAUUUUGGUUAUGUGCUACCUGUGACACGUGGAUUUCAAAGCACUUGUGCGGGAAAAUUAAGCUGAUCAGGACUGUACAGUCAAUCCAAAGGAGAGCAAAAGACUGACUUGCACAAAUUCACACCUCAGGUUUCUGCCAGAGCCUGGUCCAUGGCUUCCCCUUCAGACCCCACCAGAAUGUUCCAACCACUGCCUUCCAAGAGGAGGAGAAGCAUCAGCAGAGGCUGCCCAAAGAGGCAGCAGGAAUGCCUUCCUUGAAGAGUCUCAGAACCUGACAAGGCACUGAACAACUUAAAUAACUGACUUCAGCCCUGCUCCAGAGAGGAGAGGAGACCAAAGGCUCCACAAGCCUUUCCAACCUGAACUAUUCCUAAGCUGGUCUUUCUUCACUGGGGUCAGCAGCAUUUCUGGAAAAUGUAAGAUGAACUCCAGUAAAAAUGCCAGUAAGUAAUAACUGUUUAAUUUUCAGAAUUCCUCCUUUAAACCAGAAAUAUAUAGGAUGUGCUUCUAUUUAAUUAAUUGAGAUUUCUAAGUAUCCUAGACCCAUAAAUGUGUAAUAUUGAAUGUAAUUACUUUGGUGUGAUGUACUCACACAUACUUCAACUUAACACAUUCCCUUCUCUUAGGACCUGACUAUUUCUGGCAAAUGUUAAGAGUCUUAUCAAAGCCUAUAAUGAGCAUCUGUCACCAUGGCACGAAAUACACAAGAUCCUUCAAAAAAGAAGUGGCCAGUUCUGAUCUCACUUAGUACAAAUCAUUAUAAAUAAAAUUCCAUGAGUGAGUUUAAAACAGCAAGACAAUCAGAAACAAAUAAAAAAAAGUUCAGAAUUUUAAAUGCAACUUAAAGCAGUGGUUCCAAGUACUGAAAAUAAACUCCAUACUCUGGUGAGCUGCAGAUCUGCUGUUACCAGCAGCCACCCUGCGGAGCUGCCCUCGGUAUCUUUCUUCAGCCUCCAGGAUGACUCUGUGGUGCUCACACCUCUGCAGGCAACUCUGCAACAUCUUGGUGAAGGUUUUACUGUUCAAGGACAGUCCUGCUGUGCAACCUGGGAAAAACAGGAUACUGCAGAAAUAGCAAUCAUAGCUUCUGAAGAAGCCAUCACAAAAUUCAGUGUUUCAUUUUGCUCACUAGGAUCAAUCUGACUUCAGGUUUUCCAUACUCAUGUCAUUUUUAUGUGCCUUCUUGAAAUACUUUGUAUUUGCUCUCUCAAAAUAAAAGUAUUAUUUCAAAA